UGAAAUGCAAUGUUUUUCUGUUGUGGUCUGUUUGAUGGGGAUUGAUGCACAUGUAGGUCAUAUCUCUGUGUGUUUGGACCGAGGGAACAACACUAGCUUAUUAGCUUACUUUUCAUCAAGUACUAGUAUUAGUUGAGAUGUAGAUGGACUGUUUCUUUCAUGAUUUUAUCGAUAUAAAGUUGUUUACAUGUUUUUUAUCUGGAUGUCUUAUACAUGACAGAAGCUUGUGAUUUUAUCUGGAUGUCUUAUACAUGACAGAAGCUCCUUCGCCUCCAGAUCCGGCGGCCGGUAAUGGCGCCGUCGCCUCCGCACCCGCACCCGCAAGCAGCGCCGCCCCUCUGAGCCGCUCUCCACGCAUCACGGAGUCUCCGUCGCCGUCGCCCUCCACCCCAUGGCUGCCUCGACCACGCCCCCUACCCACCCGAGGUACUUGUGGUGAGAAGCAACCUCCGGCUGAUCGUCAGGGUCAUGGCGCCCCCUCACCCCGUGCAUUUGGCGCCUUGCAGCGGGGACUUGGAUUGCAUCUGGAAGCUGCUUGCGUGGGGAGCUGAUCGGCUCCAAAGAGACUCUGCUGGGGGAGAACUAGAUCCCUGCCAUGGUCUUGCCUUACACAUUGUUGGUCUGCUUAAUUUUGUGCUAUGAGAUGCUGGGCUUUAAUGUUUCUUCGUGAGCAUCAGUAAAAAGAAGUCGGAGGAAGAAUAGUUCUUGCUCAUUGGAGCUAGUUCUGAGAGUAAUGGAGUCCUUUAUGCUGCUCCUAUUUGUAUGUGUGUUAUGUGAUGUAGCAGAAUCUGGCUCCUGUGAUUGUACACUUGUGGAGCUUGUUAUCUGAUUGUAAACUUGAUGCUGAUCACAUUUGUAUGUGUGUUAUAUGAUGUAGCACUUUGAUGAUUGAUAAUAUUUGAAGUA